rnacentral:rRNA from 1 species
GACGAACGCUGGCGGCGUGCCUAAUACAUGCUAGUAGAACGCUGAAGGAGGAGCUUGCUUCUCUGGAUGAGUUGCGAACGGGUGAGUAACGCGUAGGUAACCUGCCUGGUAGCGGGGGAUAACUAUUGGAAACGAUAGCUAAUACCGCAUAAUAGCAGUUGUUGCAUGACAACUGUUUGAAAGGUGCAAUUGCACCACUACCAGAUGGACCUGCGUUGUAUUAGCUAGUUGGUGGGGUAACGGCUCACCAAGGCGACGAUACAUAGCCGACCUGAGAGGGUGAUCGGCCACACUGGGACUGAGACACGGCCCAGACUCCUACGGGAGGCAGCAGUAGGGAAUCUUCGGCAAUGGACGGAAGUCUGACCGAGCAACGCCGCGUGAGUGAAGAAGGUUUUCGGAUCGUAAAGCUCUGUUGUAAGAGAAGAACGAGUGUGAGAGUGGAAAGUUCACACUGUGACGGUAUCUUACCAGAAAGGGACGGCUAACUACGUG